UCUCCGUUGGUGAACCAGCGGAGGGAUCAUUACAGAGUUCAUGCCCUUCGGGGUAGAUCUCCCACCCUGUGUAUUACUACUUUGUUGCUUUGGCGGGCCGUUAGGCUUCGGCUUAGCUACCGGCUUCGGCUGGUAAGCGCCCGCCAGAGGAUAUCAAACUCUGAAUUUUAAUGUCGUCUGAGUACUAUAUAAUAGUUAAAACUUUCAACAACGGAUCUCUUGGUUCUGGCAUCGAUGAAGAACGCAGC
rnacentral:misc_RNA from 1 species